GGCCCCGGGCGCCCGCCGCGCCCCGAGUGUCAGCUUCCGGCUUCCUGCGUCUCCGCGGCUGGGCCCAGGUUGUCAUCUCAAGGAUCUUGGGAAUGGAAUAAACGUAGAAUAACCACACAAUCAAGAGUCUGCUCUCCCUGCGCUGCUUCCCACCCUGCGUAUGCCUCUUGCCACUGCAGCAUCCUAAAACACAGUAACUUCAUGAAAACAUUUAAGCCUAAUAGUAAUAGUGGAAUAAAAACAAAGUAAAGGAAGACAGGUGAAUUGCCUUGGAGAGAAGUUUCCUUAGGAGAAUAUGUAACCUCUUAGAGAAAUCUGUGGAAACAAACUAGAAAGAUGUAAAAUGUGAAAACAAGCUCUCAAGUUCCAGGAUAAACAGAAAUCAACAAGGAAUCUCUGCUUGUUCUGUUGCACAAUGCAGCCAGAUAUCAUUUGCAGUAAGAACUAUAGAUAAUAGAAAGUGAAUUUUCAGCCUUUGGCACAGAAUUGGCCUUGAAGUUGAUUCAAGUGGUUGAUCCAUUUCAGCACCUUCUUGGGGGACAGACUGACCCCACACACUUUAUGAUCUAGAGACGACCCCUCAAAUUAUACAAGUUUAAAAUUUCCCUAAACCAGAUUCCAACCUUGGCUGUGAAUUACACUUGGAGCAAGGAAUUUUUACCUGCCCUGAAUAUGAAGAUUUGUAGAAGUAAACAAGGAAAUUGGAUGGAAGCGCACAGAUGGAAAUGAAUGGAUGGCUUUAAAUUUGCAUGAAAAAACAUCACCCACCACUAAUUUUCUAUCACUAAAUUUGCUCUGCAACUGUAAAAGAACUUUCAAAAAACCCUACUGCUUUGUAUUUUCGUUUGAAUAAGGGAUUGUUAAAACAGGGCCA